rnacentral:rRNA from 1 species
UGAUCGAGAAGAACCUUAUCAAGGCUUGACAUGUGCCGGACCGUCCCAGAGAUGGGGCUUCCCUUCGGGGCCGGUUCACAGGUGGUGCAUGGUUGUCGUCAGCUCGUGUCGUGAGAUGUUGGGUUAAGUCCCGCAACGAGCGCAACCCUCGUUCCAUGUUGCCAGCACUUCGGGUGGGGACUCAUGGGAGACUGCCGGGGUCAACUCGGAGGAAGGUGGGGAAGACGUCAAAUCAUCAUGCCCCUUAUGUCUUGGGCUUCACGCAUGCUACAAUGGCCGGUACAAAGGGGUGCGAUACUGUGAGGUGGAGCCAAUCCCAAAAAGCCGGUCUCAGUUCGGAUUGGGGUCUGCAAAUCGACCCCAUGAAGUCGGAGUCCCAAGUAAUCGCAGAUCAGCAACGCCGCGGUGAAUACGUUCCCGGGUCUUGUACACACGCAA